CGAGCGAAGAAUAUAUAAAGAAAUCUUCNGAUGGAAAUAUAUAUUUCUUAGCGGCGGACGGGUGAGUAACGCGUGAGGAACCUGCCUUGUACUAGGGGAUAGCCUCGGGAAACCGGGAUUAAUACCCUAUGAUACUUGAGGAUCGCAUGAUUUUCAAGUCAAAGCGAUUAAGCGGUAUAAGAUGGACUCGCGUCCCAUUAGCUAGUUGGUGAGGUAAUAGCUCACCAAGGCGACGAUGGGUAGCCGGCCUGAGAGGGUGAACGGCCACACUGGAACUGAGACACGGUCCAGACUCCUACGGGAGGCAGCAGUGGGGAAUAUUGCACAAUGGAGGGAACUCUGAUGCAGCGACGCCGCGUGAGCGAUGAAGGUUUUCGGAUCGUAAAGCUCUGUCCUAAGGGACGAUAAUGACGGUACCUUAGGAGGAAGCCCCGGCUAACUACGUGCCAGCAGCCGCGGUAAUACGUAGGGGGCGAGCGUUGUCCGGAUUUAUUGGGCGUAAAGGGUGCGUAGGCGGCCUUGUAAGUCAGAUGUGAAAUCUCACGGCUUAACCGUGGUAAGCAUUUGAAACUGUGAGGCUUGAGUACAGGAGAGGAGAGUGGAAUUCCUAGUGUAGCGGUGAAAUGCGUAGAUAUUAGGAGGAAUACCAGUGGCGAAGGCGACUCUCUGGACUGUAACUGACGCUGAGGCACGAAAGCGUGGGGAGCAAACAGGAUUA
rnacentral:rRNA from 1 species